CUUCGCAGCCCCCGGUCCUCCCAGGCGCGGCUCUCGCGAGCGGGGCGGCUCCCCGGCCAGGCUGCUCUCCCGGACGCCCAGACCCCGGCCAGAGACCGAGCACUGGAAAGUGUCAUUUGGCAAAGAGAAGAAAUGUCACCUCCGCCCCUUUGGGAAACCCCUGAGAAUUUUCGGGGAGCCCUGGAGAGAAGCAGACCAGGUAAGACCGUGGCACAAAGGGGGUCUUGCGGGAAUGCUCUUCACUGGCUAGUCUACCAGCCUCAUCUUCCAGGGCAGAGGGUUAGGGGUAGGGGUAGGGGUAGGGU